AUUGAACGCUGGCGGCAGGCCUAACACAUGCAAGUCGAGCGGAGCGGCAGACGGGUGAGUAAUGCCUAGGAAUCUGCCUGGUAGUGGGGGAUAACGUCCGGAAACGGGCGCUAAUACCGCAUACUAUCAGAUGAGCCUAGGGCGGAGUUGCUAGUUGGUGGGGUAAAGGUCUACCAAGGCGACGAUCCGUAACUGGUCUGAGAGUAUGAUACGUCACACUGGAACUGAGACACGGUCCAGACUCCUCCGGGUGGCAGCAGUGGUGAAGAUUGGCCAAUGGGCGAAAGCCUGAUCCAGCCAUGCCGCGUGUGUUAAGAAGUUCUUCGGAUUGUAAAGCACUUUAAGUUGGGAGGCGUUACCAACAGAAUAAGCACCGGCUAACUCCGUGCCAGCAGCCGCGGUAAUAC
rnacentral:rRNA from 1 species